UACAAACGGCACACAGUUCAGAAGCCGAAUAAACUCGCGAGUGUACUCCAGAACUAAUCGCUCCCCCUGCUGUAGCUUCUUCAGAUCCUCUUCAAGUUUCUGCUUCAUGCUGUUUGAAAAAUACCACGUACAACAUUCUGCAGAACUCAUCCCACUUCAUCUGUAGCGCCACCAAUCCUCGAGUCUGCCUCAUCCUUCUCCACCAGGAGUGCGCAUCGCCGGCCAAAC
rnacentral:lncRNA from 1 species